rnacentral:lncRNA from 1 species
UUUUCAUCAUCUCCUUGUCUUCUACACCAGUUUCUAAAGUGGGAGGGUCAUUUUGCAGCGUCAGCAUUAACACUUUCAUAGGAGGAUAUUUGUGAUAAGGUGCUGCUCCUGUUGCUAACUCAAUGGCUGUUAUCCCAAAACUCCACAUAUCAGCCUUGAAGUCAUAACCUCGCACCUGCUCCAUUACUUCAGGGGCCAUCCAACACGGAGUGCCAACAAAUGUUUUCCUUACUUUGUUACGAGUCAUAUCACCUCCUGUAGCUAAAAAUGCACUGACACCAAAAUCUGCUAUUUGUACAGAGCCAUCUUCACCCA